AUUGAACGCUGGCGGCAUGCUUUACACAUGCAAGUCGAACGGUAACAGGUUAAGCUGACGAGUGGCGAACGGGUGAGUAAUGCAUCGGAACGUGCCCGAUCGUGGGGGAUAACGCAGCGAAAGCUGCGCUAAUACCGCAUACGAUCUGAGGAUGAAGGCGGGGGACCGUAAGGCCUCGCGCGAUCGGAGCGGCCGAUGUCAGAUUAGGUAGUUGGUGGGGUAAAGGCCCACCAAGCCGACGAUCUGUAGCUGGUCUGAGAGGACGACCAGCCACACUGGGACUGAGACACGGCCCAGACUCCUACGGGAGGCAGCAGUGGGGAAUUUUGGACAAUGGGCGAAAGCCUGAUCCAGCAAUGCCGCGUGCAGGAAGAAGGCCUUCGGGUUGUAAACUGCUUUUGUACGGAGCGAAAAGGUCCUUUCUAAUACAAGGGGCUCAUGACGGUACCGUAAGAAUAAGCACCGGCUAACUACGUGCCAGCCGCCGCCGUAAAAC
rnacentral:rRNA from 1 species